AGUGAACGCUGGCGGUAGGCCUAACACAUGCAAGUCGAACGGCAGCACGGGAGCUUGCUCCUGGUGGCGAGUGGCGAACGGGUGAGUAAUACAUCGGAACGUACCCAGGAGUGGGGGAUAACGUAGCGAAAGUUACGCUAAUACCGCAUAUUCUGUGAGCAGGAAAGCGGGGGAUCGCAAGACCUCGCGCUCUUGGAGCGGCCGAUGUCGGAUUAGCUAGUUGGUGAGGUAAAAGCUCACCAAGGCGACGAUCCGUAGCAGGUCUGAGAGGAUGAUCUGCCACACUGGGACUGAGACACGGCCCAGACUCCUACGGGAGGCAGCAGUGGGGAAUUUUGGACAAUGGGGGCAACCCUGAUCCAGCCAUGCCGCGUGAGUGAAGAAGGCCUUCGGGUUGUAAAGCUCUUUCGGCGGGGAAGAAAUGGCAACGGCUAAUAUCCGUUGUUGAUGACGGUACCCGCAUAAGAAGCACCGGCUAACUACGUGCCAGCCGCCGCAGUAA
rnacentral:rRNA from 1 species